GGCUUGCGCCAUAUUAGUUAGUUGGUAGGGUAAUGGCCUACCAAGACGAUGAUGUGUAGCUGGACUGAGAGGUUGAACAGCCACAUUGGGACUGAGACACGGCCCAAACUCCUACGGGAGGCAGCAGUAGGGAAUUUUCGGCAAUGGAGGAAACUCUGACCGAGCAACGCCGCGUGAACGACGAAGUACUUUGGUAUGUAAAGUUCUUUUAUCAAGGAAGAAAAGCAAGUGGUGAACCAUUUGUUUGCCGGUACUUGAUGAAUAAGCCCCGGCUAAUUAUGUGCCAGCAGCCGCGGUAAGACAUAAGGGGCAAGUGUUAUCCGGAAUUAUUGGGCGUAAAGGGUGCGUAGGCGGUCUAGUAAGUCAGUGGUGUAAUGGCAACGCUCAACGUUGUCCGGCUAUUGAAACUGUUAAACUUGAGUUAGAUAGAGGCGAGUGGAAUUCCAUGUGUAGCGGUAAAAUGCGUAAAUAUAUGGAGGAACACCAGAGGCGUAGGCGGCUCGCUGGGUCUUAACUGACGCUGAGGCACGAAAGCGUGGGGAGCAAACAGGAUUAGAUACCCUGGUAGUCCACGCCGUAAACGAUGAGUACUAAGUGUCGGGUUAAACCGGUACUGAAGUUAACACAUUAAGUACUCCGCCUGAGUAGUACGUACGCAAGUAUGAAACUUAAAGGAAUUGACGGGACUCCGCACAAGCGGUGGAUCAUGUUGUUUAAUUCGAAGAUACCCGAAAAACCUUACCAGGUCUUGACAUGUUUUUGCGAAACGGUAGUAAUAUCGUGGAGGUUAUCAGAAACACAGGUGGUGCAUGGUUGUCGUCAGCUCGUGUCGUGAGAUGUUAGGUUAAGUCCUAAAACGAGCGAAACCCUUAUCGUUAGUUGCCAGCACGUUAUGGUGGGGACUUUAACGAGACUGCCAGUGAUAAAUUGGAGGAAGGUGAGGAUCACGUCAAAUCAGCAUGCCCCUUAUGACCUGGGCUACAAACGUGAUACAAUGGCUGUUACAAAGGGUAGCUGAAACGCAAGUUCUUGGCCAAUCCCCAAAAACAGUCUCAGUCCGGAUUGAAGUCUGCAACUCGACUUCAUGAAGUGGAAUCGCUAGU
rnacentral:rRNA from 1 species